rnacentral:rRNA from 1 species
UACGUAGGGUGCGAGCGUUAAUCGGAAUUACUGGGCGUAAAGCGUGCGCAGGCGGCUUCUCAAGUCAGGGGUGAAAGCCCAGAGCUCAACUCUGGAACUGCCUUUGAGACUGAGAGGCUUGAGUACGGGAGAGGUGAGUGGAAUUCCCAGUGUAGAGGUGAAAUUCGUAGAUAUUGGGAAGAACACCGGUGGCGAAGGCGGCUCACUGGACCGUAACUGACGCUCAUGCACGACAGCGUGGGGAUCAAACAGG